rnacentral:rRNA from 1 species
CCUGCCUUGGAGUGGGGAAUAACAGCUGGAAACAGCUGCUAAUACCGCAUGAUAUGUCUGUAUCACAUGGUACUGGACAUCAAAGAUCUAUCGCUCUGAGAUGGGCUCGCGUCUGAUUAGCUAGUUGGUGGGGCAACGGCCCACCAAGGCGACGAUCAGUAGCCGGACUGAGAGGUUGGCCGGCCACAUUGGGACUGAGACACGGCCCAGACUCCUACGGGAGGCAGCAG